AUUGAACGCUGGCGGCAGGCCUAACACAUGCAAGUCGAGCGAGCGGAGGACGGGUGAGUAAUGUCUGGGAAUCUGCUUGAUGGAGGGGGAUAACUACUGGAAACGGUAGCUAAUACCGCAUACCAUCAGAUGUACCCAGAUGGGAUUAGCUAGUAGGUGGGGUAACGGCUUACCUAGGCGACGAUCCCUAGCUGGUCUGAGAGGAUGAUCAGCCACACUGGAACUGAGACACGGUCCAUACUCCUACGGGAGGCAGCAGUGGGGAAUAUUGCACAAUGGGCGCAAGCCUGAUGCAGCCAUGCCGCGUGUAUGAAGAAGGCCUUCGGGUUGUAAAGUACUUUCAGCGGGGAGGCGUUACCCGCAGAAGAAGCACCGGCUAACUCCGUGCCAGCAGCCGCGGUAAUAC
rnacentral:rRNA from 1 species